UGUCAAUUUGGGGUUUUACUGAGAAUAUCGUGAUUUGAAACCAAACGAACCGAACAGCUCAUGGUGGUUUUACGACCCAACUAUGCUAAGCUUGUUUGGGCAUCAAAAAUGCAAUUUGCCCCGGAGAGUACAUCGUAAUGUCACGUAACAGAAGAGAGUUCUAAAAUUCCGGAAGAAACACCCGUAGCACGAAACUGGUUUAGGAAUAAGCUGCCACCAUUCUGAUCUACAGCUCGAAGAGGUAACAGUUUCCGAACAUGUCAGUACGCAAGCUAAGAUGAUUCGAGUGGCAGGGAGAGUUUUUUUUCGCUCGGCAUCACAAAUUAUCGUUAUUUUUGCUCUGUUUGCCACAGUUAGCGCCUUGGAAGAUGCGAUACAAUGUUCGGAAGGCAUUUGUGUACCAGUGGAUAUGUGCUCUAAAAAUAUAAAAAUUGAGUCGUAUAGUUAUGGAAUUGAUUGCCCCGGGAAACUCGUUUGUUGCAGAGAAGAAUCAAAGACUGAGCAUCAAUUAGUGAGCACUGAGUCUGUGGAAGUGGGCAGAAACUGUGAUGGGACGUGUGUUCUACGAUCACGAUGCGUUGAAUCCGAUGAUCGUGGUAUCAGUAGUAGUUGCCCUGCGAAUACAAUCUGCUGUAAGAAUGUGCGGGCAACGUGUGAUGGAACUUGCACCCCACCCGAACAAUGCGCCGAAGCUGCUGUUGAUGCAGAAACGAACGCUUUAGAUGGAGUAUGUCCUCCUCGAAGGAUUUGUUGCAAGGUCUUGAAACCCCAACAAAACGAGUUUUGUAGCGGGCUUUGGCUUUACCCAGAGGAAUGCGCCGGGUAUAACACAGGAAAUGAUCAAUUGAUCAAUUUGAGACUAUCUGACAGUAAUUGUUCUGCGAACAAAAUUUGUUGUAAUAAAACGUCGAUCAGCCAACCUGAUCCCACAGAUGUUCCUAGGAUUCGAGAGAAACUUUGCGAUGGGGAAUGUGUUCCUUCGCGACAGUGCAUCGGUUACAAGCAAGAUAGCGGAAUAGAUCUACGGGUUCAAAGUAAUGAAUGUCCCGGGAACCAUGUAUGUUGUCAAAAACCUAUGAUAAAUAAAACUGAUUCAUGUGAUGGAACAUGUGUUCCAGCCAACCAAUGUAAUGAUAUCAGAACAGAUUCCAGCCAAAUUGAUUUGAGAUUCAACGACGAAGUCUGUCCAGAGGGCAAUAUGUGCUGCAAAAGUAUCAAAGUUGUAUCGAAACUGAUUAUCAACGACUCUUGCGAAUGUGUUCCCAUACAGCAAUGCUUAGAUGUCACCCAUUCUAUUGGGGAAACGGUGGAUUUGAGAAUAUCUGAGCACAACUGUCCCAUCGAGCAAAUAUGUUGCAAAAAUCGAAAGAUGCCAUCAUGCGGUUAUUCCUGUGUUCCACGUGAAAAGUGCAAUGAUUCGGCUCUUGAAGUUGAUUUGCGAUUCGGUGAAGAAAUAUGUCCCCUGAAUGAAAUGUGUUGCAAAAAUCCGAAAUCAACACAGGAAACAUCGUCUAUAUUGGACAGCGAGGAUAACCAAUCAUUAUUCUGCAAUGCAACGUGUGUGAAUGAGGAACUGUGUCUAAGACCAUCGCAAGGAAAAGAUCUGUGCCCAAAUGAAAAAGUGUGUUGCGUGGAUUUAAUACCUUCCAGUAUUUGUGAAGGGAAGUGUGUUGCGAACGAUGAAUGUGCCGAGUAUACACAUCCUGAGGACGGAAUCAAUCUGAGAACAUUUGAAAAUACAUGUUCAAAUAACUUAGUUUGUUGCAAAAAAUUGAAAUCAUCGGUCCCAGAGGAUACACAAGACUCAGUUUGCAAUGGAAGCUGUGUCCCCGAUUUUCAAUGCUUAGACAAUGAGAUAGACGAUAGUGUGAUCAAUUUAAGGCAAUUACCUAUUGGUGGUUGUUCUCUCAACGAAGUUUGUUGCACGAGAGUAAUGCCAUCCACGCGCUGUGAAGGAAUUUGUACUGAAUAUGACAAUUGCGUGGAUAAACCCUCUGAAACUCAGAUAAUCAACCUGCGAUCGUUGGAUGAGAUCUGUCCGUCCAAUCAAAUCUGCUGCAAAAAAUUAAAGAUAGAAAAAACAAAAUGCGAAGGAAAGUGUGUUCCGCUUCAUCAAUGCCCGGGAAAUACCUCGGAAGCUGAUAUUUUGAAUUUAAGAACGUGGAUUGAGGACGGUUGCUCGCUGAAUGAAACCUGCUGCAAAACGAUAGGCAAAAAAUGUAAAGGGGACUGUGUUCCCUACGAGCGAUGUGGCGAAAGUAUUUUUGAAAUAAUGAUGCGUAACAUAGAUCAGCCAUGUCCAUCUGAUUUGGUUUGUUGUAAAACCGGAAAACAAAUGAAAUCUGAAGCGCUCAACGUCAAUCACUUGAGCAUUCCCAAGCCUCUUCAUAUUCCCACAACAGAUUCAGACUCAAUCCAAUCGCAAUGCGCUUUCACCAAAGCACCCAGCUCAGCAUCCAUUCGGAAGCCUGAUGUCCCAUGGUUAGUCACCAUCUGGAGCCACAGAACAUAUCUGGAUAUGACGAGAAAUCAGUUCGAAUGUGUUGGAACGUUAUUGUCGAACGAUUUGGUGCUCACUUCUGCCGAUUGCGUUUCGGAUUUGGAACCAAAACAAACCUUUAUUCGAGUUGGUGAUUUCAAUCUGAAACCUCUCAACACCCUGUCCAAACGGAGGGAAUAUAUGGUGAAUACAAUAACCGUUCACCCAGACUACAACAGCACCUCAGGCUACGCUAAUAUUGCAGUACUGAAGAUGAGCAAAAAUAGCACAGUGAAGGCUAAAGUUUGCUUGGCACAGGAACCAAAAGACUACCGCAAAGAGGGAUGUUUCCUCAUUGGGUGGAGUAAACACGAUCUCAUGAAUGAUUCGAUCGACAAUGCUAUUCCAAAGAAACACCCUUUGGAACUCGCUGAAAAUGGCGCCUGUAGCGAAGGAUCUAUUUGCGCGAGUUUACCAGAUGAACGCGGGGGAGAUCGGCAAGGAUCGCCUAUACUAUGCUUUACCGGUGGUGAUCGACACUGGGAGCAAGUCGGGAUCGCGACAAACAACAGCUCGUUAGCAGCUUCGAUAGCAUUCUUUAGAAUGUGGAUUAACGAGCAAAUUUUACCGAGCUUCCAGCAGAUACCAGCCGUAUCGAAACCAUCGCGGUUAUAUCUACCAGCGCUUUGAAUGUACGAUUACUUUUACGUAUAGUAACAUUGAAUACUACUUGAAGACUAUCGUGUAUAAACUUUCUUCAUUGCUCAUUUAGCACUUGAAUUCCAUCUUCAAAAGGCGACUCGUCUAUCCAUUUUUGGCAUCUUCAAUGACAGUGUUACCUAGCCAUGCUAUGUGUCAUCGAUUUAAAGUGUGUGCGACCUACACGGAUUUAUCUGGAAAAGUACAGACGUUUUAGUUAAUUUUGGUACAGAUUCUGUACGGUAGUUUUUGUAAAAUUUUGUAGUAAGUAAAUGUAGAUGUAAAGUUAGUAAGUAAACAUAAUAUUUUGUAACAAAUAAUAUUUUUUCUGAUGCUAACAAAACAUAUUUUUCUCUACAAUAAAUAUUUUUGAUAGUA